ACACUUACCUGGCAGGGGAGACACCAUGAUCAGGAAGGUGGUUUUCCCAGAGUGAGGCUCAUCCCUUGCAUUCUGGGUGUGCUAUUUUUUUUUAUUUUGAGGGUGACAGAGCACUGGAACCGGUUGCCCAGAGGGGUAGUGGAGUCUCCUUCUCUGGA
ensembl:snRNA U1 U1 spliceosomal RNA